GUUGAACGCUAGCGGGAUGCUUUACACAUGCAAGUCGAACGAGUGGCGGACGGGUGAGUAAUAUAUCGGAACGUGCCCAGUAGAGGGGGAUAACUACUAGAAAGAGUGGCUAAUACCGCAUACGAUUGGAGCGGCCGAUAUCGGAUUAGCUAGUGGGUGGGGUAAAGGUUCACCAAGGCAACGAUCCGUAGCAGGUUUGAGAGGACGACCAGCCACACUGGGACUGAGACACGGCCCAGACUCCUACGGGAGGCAGCAGUGGGGAAUUUUGGACAAUGGGGGAAACCCUGAUCCAGCCAUCCCGCGUGUAUGAGAAGGCCUUCGGGUUGUAAAGUACUUUUGGCAGAGAAGCGGUAUCUGCAGAAUAAGCACCGGCUAACUACGUGCCAGCAGCCGCGGUAAUAC
rnacentral:rRNA from 1 species